AUUGAACGCUGGCGGCAGGCCUAACACAUGCAAGUCGAGCGGUAGAGAGAAGCUUGCUUCUCUUGAGAGCGGCGGACGGGUGAGUAAUGCCUAGGAAUCUGCCUGGUAGUGGGGGAUAACGUUCGGAAACGGACGCUAAUACCGCAUACGUCCUACGGGAGAAAGCAGGGGACCCUCGGGCCUUGCGCUAUCAGAUGAGCCUAGGUCGGAUUAGCUAGUUGGUGGGGUAAUGGCUCACCAAGGCGACGAUCCGUAACUGGUCUGAGAGGAUGAUCAGUCACACUGGAACUGAGACACGGUCCAGACUCCUACGGGAGGCAGCAGUGGGGAAUAUUGGACAAUGGGCGAAAGCCUGAUCCAGCCAUGCCGCGUGUGUGAAGAAGGUCUUCGGAUUGUAAAGCACUUUAAGUUGGGAGGAAGGGCAGUAAAUUAAUACUUUGCUGUUUUGACGUUACCGACAGAAUAAGCACCGGCUAACUCUGUG
rnacentral:rRNA from 1 species